rnacentral:lncRNA from 1 species
GUUGCAAUCAGUUAAGCUCCUGUGCCCAUGAAUAUACGUGUAAAUUGGUCGUUCGCGCCACAACCUUGGAUCUUUUCCAAAACUUCUAGACAACAUUGUAGUCGUCAGGUUCAGGGCCCGAAAUGGUCCUGUGGAUUUGCUGAAUUGUACCAGCAGGGUUUGGGGCCCUAGGCUCGGGGCAGAUUGGCUACAUCGACUGCUGAUAGCACGCUGGCUGCAUCGCCCUGUACUGCCGUGCUCUUGACGUAUUCCAGGAGGCGCUCCUCGGUCGUGUUACCAUGCCUCACGCGACGCAGGUAUCCCGGGACGAUUACCUUCAUAAUGUACCUUGUUGCAUAACUCCAGGGGAUCAGUAUUAGCUCAGCACUGACAGAAAACUCUGCAUCUUCAACUCCGACUGAGUAAGCACUUUUCUGGAUUGGUCACAGUCAUCAUCAUCUGAUCUUUGGUUAUAAAGUACACUUAAUAUAAAUAUUAAUUUAUAUUAUUGGUACUUGGUUAAUAAAGUGUUGGAAUGUUUGCAUGGCAUUUCGAAGAAUUACAUCUCAAGUAAAUAAAAGACCAAACUGUAUUGUAAUAGCUGUUUUGUAGAUAUCAAGUUUCAUGUGCCCUUUUCUUGGAAACUAUCGCAUUACUUAACCCUGCACGCAGUGAAGUCAUCGAGAAGAGUAGACUUUACGUAUAGCAGCGAUCAUCGAGGUAUGCUUCUAUGUUUCAAAUUCUGGCCUUACAAGGUAAGCACAAAAGGUUUGCCCAGGCCUGUUCAACACUGGCUAAGACCAUAAAGCAAGGACCCGGACAACCGCUAUACGCAUGAGGUCUACUGACCGAUGACCAGCUGUCUGCCAGUUAACCACGCCCCCGUGACGACCCUACGGAAUUUUGUAGUUAGGCCUUGUUGACGGAUUCUGGCGUAAUUGGUCCACUGGACACCGAUCAGGAAUAGAACAUACAAUACACAAUCCCGAAGACACGUAUCGCCAAAUUUUCGGGGGCAGGGAAAACUGGUAACGUAAUGGUGUAAUGCAGGUACCUAUGCCAAGCUAUUCUUCCGUUUGCCUGGUUUUCUAAUAAAAUUAUGCCAGUUUCGCAGUCAUAGGAAGAAUAUAUCGUAGACUUCCACAAGAAAUACUCCUUCGUGUAAUCACAGAGCAUGGAAACAGAUGAUUAGCAAAAUGCAACAUCUUUAUGCUGAUUUCUUUCUUUGAUCAGUUCUUUGACCAGGGCUGAACUUUAGGCACCCUGAUAUAAAUUAAGGAGACGUAAGCACAUAGUUGUACUGCCAUGGUAAAAUCCCCCCAAGACAAAAAAAGAUCAGAAAAACAAGAAAGUUUAAUGCUACAGAAAAACCAAAUCACGCAAAUACUAAUGCAAAACAGUAAAUAAUAACAAUGGCAUUUAUCAAAUAAAAUAAAAAACAGUAAAAUAAAGAAAACGGUGUCUUACUAAAUGAGAAACAUUAUUCAAUCUGUUAAUUCCAUAAUCACACAAGGUAACAAUUUAUUGGAACGAAGUCACAUGAUGCUUAGUGAAGCUGAAGUGUUAACUGAAACUGACGAUUACCUGUUAAUGUUGCCUGCCCAAAUCCUCGCCCGUAAAAACUUUGAACCCUAUCGACUCUUGAAGUGUUUAAUUAAUAUUCUCUUUCUUGUUUUUUAUGGGUGUUCUCGUUUGACUUCUUUAUUGCAUCUGAGAAAAUUCAGGAUCUCACUGAUACGGGGUUUCAACUCGUCACAGGACAAAAAAGAAGUAGGCUUACACGAACAAAUUCAAUUCAGGACUUUGAUGAGCAUUGCGUCUCACACACCGCAAACUGUAUAAAAUUGUGAACAUGUAUGGAAUGGUUCAAGGUGUUGACACAUCAAAGGAUUUGGAACCGGGUAAUGACCAGUUGAAAUGUCUUAUACACAUCCAUCACUUGACUGGAAGCAUGACUGAAAUUUAACGGAAUAAGUUAAACGCCAGUGCAAUUGCAAUGGGAGGAAGAUAUUUGGAGGUAAACAAAAUAUAAGUAAAAUAGAAAUAUUAGACAACAAAAACAAAGACACUAUAAGGAAUCCUGAGAUACCCAUUCUGUUUUCGUUCUCUCCCCACGUAUGUUCGGUCCCAUAGACUGUGUGUGCAUUCAGUUUUGUAUUCACGCAUGCGCAAUAGUGAGAUCUGGUCGGCCUGAAUAAUUAUUCAGUGGUGAGAGAUUUGUACUAUCAUUGUACUAUCAUCAAAAUACAUCUGAAAUGUUGACUUCACUUCCAACUUCUGACUCGAUUACUUUGGAGGUACGUGACAAAGACGGGCAAAAUGUUUCAAAAACAAAUUAAUUUUUAUAGUGUGCAAGCAGCAAAAGGGGCUUUGAGUGUUUAAAUUGUAAUCGGUAUGGAAAUGAGGGACGUGAACUUUAUCUGAGCUUGAUAUUGAUCUGUUACUUUUCGAGUCCAGGUGCCCAAGUCAGGAGCCGUUUCACUGCCUAUAGUGGGAUUCAGAACGCACGCGCACCAACUUAGUACAAGAGACGGUACAAGGUCAGGAUUGAGGAAGCCCCACUAGUGUGACACGGGAGUGAGAGUCCGUGCCACGCCAUGGAUCGGGAGUGAGAGUCCGUACCACACCAUGGAUCGGGAGUGAGAGUCUGUGCCACACUAUGGAUCGGGAGUGAGAGUCCGUACCACACUAGUGGGGCCAGGAUUGAGGGUGACUGUAGAUUA